rnacentral:rRNA from 1 species
AGGUCCCAAAGUCAUGGUUAAGUGGGAAACGAUGUGGGAAGGCCCAGACAGCCAGGAUGUUGGCUUAGAAGCAGCCAUCAUUUAAAGAAAGCGUAAUAGCUCACUGGUCGAGUCGGCCUGCGCGGAAGAUGUAACGGGGCUAAACCAUGCACCGAAGCUGCGGCAGCGACACUCAGGUGUUGUUGGGUAGGGGAGCGUUCUGUAAGCCUGUGAAGGUGGCCUGUGAGGGUUGCUGGAGGUAUCAGAAGUGCGAAUGCUGACAUAAGUAACGAUAAAGCGGGUGAAAAGCCCGCUCGCCGGAAGACCAAGGGUUCCUGUCCAACGUUAAUCGGGGCAGGGUGAGUCGACCCCUAAGGCGAGGCCGAAAGGCGUAGUCGAUGGGAAACGGGUUAAUAUUCCCGUACUUGGUGUUACUGCGAAGGGGGGGACGGAGAAGGCUAUGUUGGCCGGGCGACGGUUGUCCCGGUUUAAGCGUGUAGGUGUGUGUUCCAGGUAAAUCCGGUUCACUUUAACACUGAGGCGUGACGACGAGGCACUACGGUGCUGAAGCAACAAAUGCCCUGCUUCCAGGAAAAGCCUCUAAGCAUCAGGUAACAUCAAAUCGUACCCCAAACCGACACAGGUGGUCAGGUAGAGAAUACCAAGGCGCUUGAGAGAACUCGGGUGAAGGAACUAGGCAAAAUGGUGCCGUAACUUCGGGAGAAGGCACGCUGACACGUAGGUGAAGUGAUUUACUCAUGGAGCUGAAGUCAGUCGAAGAUACCAGCUGGCUGCAACUGUUUAUUAAAAACACAGCACUGUGCAAACACGAAAGUGGACGUAUACGGUGUGACGCCUGCCCGGUGCCGGAAGGUUAAUUGAUGGGGUCAGCGCAAGCGAAGCUCCUGAUCGAAGCCCCGGUAAACGGCGGCCGUAACUAUAACGGUCCUAAGGUAGCGAAAUUCCUUGUCGGGUAAGUUCCGACCUGCACGAAUGGCGUAAUGAUGGCCAGGCUGUCUCCACCCGAGACUCAGUGAAAUUGAACUCGCUGUGAAGAUGCAGUGUACCCGCGGCAAGACGGAAAGACCCCGUGAACCUUUACUAUAGCUUGACACUGAACAUUGAGCCUUGAUGUGUAGGAUAGGUGGGAGGCUUUGAAGUGUGGACGCCAGUCUGCAUGGAGCCGACCUUGAAAUACCACCCUUUAAUGUUUGAUGUUCUAACGUGGACCCGUUACCCGGGUUGCGGACAGUGUCUGGUGGGUAGUUUGACUGGGGCGGUCUCCUCCUAAAGAGUAACGGAGGAGCACGAAGGUUGGCUAAUCCUGGUCGGACAUCAGGAGGUUAGUGCAAUGGCAUAAGCCAGCUUGACUGCGAGCGUGACGGCGCGAGCAGGUGCGAAAGCAGGUCAUAGUGAUCCGGUGGUUCUGAAUGGAAGGGCCAUCGCUCAACGGAUAAAAGGUACUCCGGGGAUAACAGGCUGAUACCGCCCAAGAGUUCAUAUCGACGGCGGUGUUUGGCACCUCGAUGUCGGCUCAUCACAUCCUGGGGCUGAAGUAGGUCCCAAGGGUAUGGCUGUUCGCCAUUUAAAGUGGUACGCGAGCUGGGUUUAGAACGUCGUGAGACAGUUCGGUCCCUAUCUGCCGUGGGCGCUGGAGAACUGAGGGGGGCUGCUCCUAGUACGAGAGGACCGGAGUGGACGCAUCACUGGUGUUCGGGUUGUCAUGCCAAUGGCACUGCCCGGUAGCUAAAUGCGGAAGAGAUAAGUGCUGAAAGCAUCUAAGCACGAAACUUGCCCCGAGAUGAGUUCUCCCUGAGACUUUAGGUCUCCUGAAGGAACGUUGAAGACGACGACGUUGAUAGGCCGGGUGUGUAAGCGCAGCGAUGCGUUGAGCUAACCGGUACUAAUGAACCGUGAGGCUUAACCUUACAACGCCGAAG